rnacentral:rRNA from 1 species
GGCUAGAGUUUGAUCAUGGCUCAGAUUGAACGCUGGCGGCAGGCCUAACACAUGCAAGUCGAACGGUAACAGGAAGCAGCUUGCUGCUUCGCUGACGAGUGGCGGACGGGUGAGUAAUGUCUGGGAAACUGCCUGAUGGAGGGGGAUAACUACUGGAAACGGUAGCUAAUACCGCAUAAUGUCGCAAGACCAAAGAGGGGGACCUUCGGGCCUCUUGCCAUCGGAUGUGCCCAGAUGGGAUUAGCUUGUUGGUGGGGUAACGGCUCACCAAGGCGACGAUCCCUAGCUGGUCUGAGAGGAUGACCAGCCACACUGGAACUGAGACACGGUCCAGACUCCUACGGGAGGCAGCAGUGGGGAAUAUUGCACAAUGGGCGCAAGCCUGAUGCAGCCAUGCCGCGUGUAUGAAGAAGGCCUUCGGGUUGUAAAGUACUUUCAGCGGGGAGGAAGGGAGUAAAGUUAAUACCUUUGCUCAUUGACGUUACCCGCAGAAGAAGCACCGGCUAACUCCGUGCCAGCAGCCGCGGUAAUACGGAGGGUGCAGGCGUUAAUCGGAAUUACUGGGCGUAAAGCGCACGCAGGCGGUUUGUUAAGUCAGAUGUGAAAUCCCCGGGCUCAACCUGGGAACUGCAUCUGAUACUGGCAAGCUUGAGUCUCGUAGAGGGGGGUAGUAUUCCAGGUGUAGCGGUGAAAUGCGUAGAGAUCUGGAGGAAUACCGGUGGCGAAGGCGGCCCCCUGGACGAAGACUGACGCUCAGGUGCGAAAGCGUGGGGAGCAAACAGGAUUAGAUACCCUGGUAGUCCACGCCGUAAACGAUGUCGACUUGGAGGUUGUGCCCUUGAGGUGUGGCUUCCGGAGCUACCGCGUUAAGUCGACCGCCUGGG